rnacentral:rRNA from 1 species
AUUGAACGCUGGCGGCGUGCCUAACACAUGCAAGUCGAGCGCGAAAGUUCCUUCGGGGAUGAGUAAAGCGGCGCACGGGUGAGUAACACGUAGAUAAUCUGCCCAUAUGUUCGGGAUAACGUCUGGAAACGGGCGCUAAUACCGCAUACGCUUUGGGUUUAAAUUCAAGGGAAAGGUGGCCUCUGCUUGCAAGCUACUGCAUAUGGAUGAGUCUGCGUCUCAUUAGGUAGUUGGUAGGGUAAUGGCCUACCAAGCCGAUGAUGAGUAGCCGGCCUGAGAGGGUGACCGGCCACACUGGGACUGACACACGGCCCAGACUCCUACGGGAGGCAGCAGUGGGGAAUAUUGCGCAAUGGGCGAAAGCCUGACGCAGCGACGCCGCGUGAGGGACGAAGGUCUUCGGAUCGUAAACCUCUGUCAGAAGGGAAGAAGUGUAGUGGUGCUAAUCAGCCACUAUUUGACGGUACCUUCAGAGGAAGCACCGGCUAACUCCGUGCCAGCAGCCGCAGUAAAA